GACGAACGCUGGCGGCGUGCUUAACACAUGCAAGUCGAACGGAAAGGCCCUGCUUUUGUGGGGUGCUCGAGUGGCGAACGGGUGAGUAACACGUGAGUAACCUGCCCUUGACUUUGGGAUAACUUCAGGAAACUGGGGCUAAUACCGGAUAGGAGCUCCUGCUGCAUGGUGGGGGGUGGAAAGUUUCGGCGGUUGGGGAUGGACUCGCGGCUUAUCAGCUUGUUGGUGGGGUAGUGGCUUACCAAGGCAUUGACGGGUAGCCGGCCUGAGAGGGUGACCGGCCACAUUGGGACUGAGAUACGGCCCAGACUCCUACGGGAGGCAGCAGUGGGGAAUAUUGCACAAUGGGCGGAAGCCUGAUGCAGCAACGCCGCGUGCGGGAUGACGGCCUUCGGGUUGUAAACCGCUUUCGCCUGUGACGAAGCGUGAGUGACGGUAAUGGGUAAAGAAGCACCGGCUAACUACGUG
rnacentral:rRNA from 1 species